rnacentral:rRNA from 1 species
CUCCUACGGGAGGCAGCAGUGAGGAAUAUUGGUCAAUGGGCGAGAGCCUGAACCAGCCAAGUAGCGUGAAGGAUGACUGCCCUAUGGGUUGUAAACUUCUUUUAUAAAGGAAUAAAGUCGGGUAUGCAUACCCGUUUGCAUGUACUUUAUGAAUAAGGAUCGGCUAACUCCGUGCCAGCAGCCGCGGUAAUACGGAGGAUCCGAGCGUUAUCCGGAUUUAUUGGGUUUAAAGGGAGCGUAGGUGGACAGUUAAGUCAGUUGUGAAAGUUUGCGGCUCAACCGUAAAAUUGCGGUUGAUACUGGAUAUCUUGAGUGCAGUUGAGGCAGGCGGAAUUCGUGGUGUAGCGGUGAAAUGCUUAGAUAUCACGAAGAACUCCGAUUGCGAAGGCAGCCUGCUAAGCUGCAACUGACAUUGAGGCUCGAAAGUGUGGGUAUCAAACAGGAUUAGAUACCCUGGUAGUCCACACAGUAAACGAUGAAUACUCGCUGUUUGCGAUAUACAGUAAGCGGCCAAGCGAAAGCAUUAAGUAUUCCACCUGGGGAGUACGCCGGCAACGGUGAAACUCAAAGGAAUUGACGGGGGCCCGCACAAGCGGAGGAACAUGUGGUUUAAUUCGAUGAUACGCGAGGAACCUUACCCGGGCUUAAAUUGCAAAUGAAUAAUCUGGAAACAGGUUAGCCGCAAGGCAUUUGUGAAGGUGCUGCAUGGUUGUCGUCAGCUCGUGCCGUGAGGUGUCGGCUUAAGUGCCAUAACGAGCGCAACCCUUAUCUUUAGUUACUAACAGGUCAUGCUGAGGACUCUAGAGAGACUGCCGUCGUAAGAUGUGAGGAAGGUGGGGAUGACGUCAAAUCAGCACGGCCCUUACGUCCGGGGCUACACACGUGUUACAAUGGGGGGUACAGAAGGCAGCUACCUGGUGACAGGAUGCUAAUCCCAAAAGCCUCUCUCAGUUCGGAUCGAAGUCUGCAACCCGACUUCGUGAAGCUGGAUUCGCUAGUAAUCGCGCAUCAGCCAUGGCGCGGUGAAUACGUUCCCGGGCCUUGUACACACCGC